GACGAACGCUGGCGGCGUGCUUAACACAUGCAAGUCGAACGGUAAGGCCCUUCGGGGUACACGAGUGGCGAACGGGUGAGUAACACGUGGGUGAUCUGCCCUGCACUUCGGGAUAAGCCUGGGAAACUGGGUCUAAUACCGGAUAGGACCACUGCCUGCAUGGGUGGUGGUGGAAAGCUUUUGCGGUGUGGGAUGGGCCCGCGGCCUAUCAGCUUGUUGGUGGGGUGAUGGCCUACCAAGGCGGCGAAGGGUAGCCGGCCUGGGAGGGUGACCGGCCACACUGGGACUGAGAUACGGCCCAGACUCCUACGGGGGGCAGCAGUGGGGAAUAUUGCACAAUGGGCGCAAGCCUGAUGCAGCGACGCCGCGUGAGGGAUGACGUCCUUCGGGUUGUAAACCUCUUUCAGCACCGACGAAGCGCAAGUGACGGUAGGUGCAGAAGAAGGACCGGCCAACUACGUGCCAGCAGCCGCCGUAA
rnacentral:rRNA from 1 species